rnacentral:rRNA from 1 species
UACGGGGGGAGCAAGCGUUGUUCGGAUUUACUGGGCGUAAAGAGCGCGCAGGCGGUCGUUCAAGUCGAGUGUGAAAGCCCCCGGCUCAACUGGGGAGGGUCAUUCGAUACUGAUCGACUUGAAGGCAGGAGAGGGAAGUGGAAUUCCCGGUGUAGUGGUGAAAUGCGUAGAUAUCGGGAGGAACGCCCGUGGCGAAAGCGAGGUCCUGGACCCUUUCUGACGCUGAGACGCGAAAGCCAGGGGAGCGAACGGG